rnacentral:lncRNA from 1 species
CCAACUCCACCAAGCCCACUUGAACCACCGAGCCCACUAGCACCACCGAGGCCACCGACUCCACCAAUUCCUCCAAGCCCACCAGCACCACCGAGGCCAGUAAUCCCACCAAGACCUCCAACUCCACCAAACGGAAGCCCAUUAGAACCAAUGCCGGAGAAGCCACCAACACCACCGUAUGUUAGAAAGUUCUUUUGAUCAUCAAGGCCAGCAUCAGUGGGCGCACUUUUGGCAGUGUUAUGAACCACUUGAUCAUCAUGAUCACUAGGCGUAUUUCUUGCACUAGUGUGAACCGCUGCUACAGCAAGAACAAGCAUGACAUUGGCACACCACUUUGCCAUCUCUCUCAAAGAUUAUUAUUAUUUGAUUACUAUUAUGAAUUUUUCUUCUUAGUACAUGUGAACUAUUGUUGCGGGAGUCUCCUUAUAAAGGCUAAGAGGGCAUUGGGGAGGUAGUUGUGGGUAGUAAAUAGAAUUGAAUGCGGGCAACUUAGCUGGCACACUCGCUCAUAAGGUCUGCUGUUUGAAAUAUAUAUUUUCAAGGAUUUGUGCUUAGAGUAAAAUUGUUAUAGGAGUCAUCGUAAUGGUUUAAACGCCUGCUGUACGGCCAAGGCGGAUGUACGGUACAGCAGAAAUUUUGUUUUCAGAAGUACUGCAAGUUUUAAAAACAAUUAUGGACGUUUGAUAAAUUUUACUAUUAAACUGCUGAGAGUAAGUAAAUGAUUAAAAUAUAAAUAAUAUAGGAUAAAAUUUACUUAUACAUGUGAAAACACGUACACACAAUAUUUUUAAUUUUGUAUGAUGAUAAUUUUAACUAAAAAUAAAAUUUAUAAUAUAUAUUGAUUUUAUUUUUUAUCGUAAACAAUUGAUAAUUAAAUUUAUAAUAUAGUGAAACAAAUUUAAUAAUAAAUCGACCAACAAAUAUUGAUGAAUCAUAAUAAAAAUUUACUAAAAUAUUGGUUUUGUUUCCAAUUGAAUAAGAAUAAUUUUGGGUUUAGGUAAUAAUUUUAAAGAUAUUGAUGGAAUUGUAUUAAAGGAUAAAAUUGAUUUUUAAAAUCAGAAUCUAAAAGCUACUUCUUACUUACUUUUCAAAAUCAUCUGUAGUAGAGGCUGAUUUUGACAAAAGUGAUUUUGAUUUUUUUUUUUUACCAAACACUAAAAUUAACUUUUAGAUUUUUAAAAUUAGUUUUAAAUCUCCUAAAAGCAAUCCCAAAUAGAGCCUAACUCUAUUAUAAAUUCUUAAUUAAUAGCUCAUCUAAUAUUUGGUGUUAAAACAUGGACAAAAUAUCACAAAUUGGUAGGUAAAUUUGGACAUUUCAUUUCCACGACAUAUAGUCAAGUUUAAGGCUGUGGCCCGACAAAUUAAUGACCUUACUUUGCUUAGUGUAACGUAAUGCAUGAGCUUCGAUAACUUCAUAUGUAAACUUUAGUUGCUUUCGUUAAAGUUCUAUAACAUCAGUCAUCUCCAUUUAAAAGACAGAAGAAGAAGAAGAUAAAACACGCGAUUUAAUUAUUUACGUCGAAUAUCUCUGAAGUAGAGAAUUACAUUACAAUAACAUACCAAAAGCUCUCAAAACUAAAACUCAAAAGCAAACAGUAACUGAAACCAAAGUAAACGAACUAUCACACGAACAUGGCAUUAAAACUAAACUUUCUUAAUAACGCGCACGGGAAUAACGUGCACGGGAAACCCUCAAACAGGAAAAACCUUGAUUAAUUAAAAGCAAGUAAAGAAGCCCUAAUGUCUUCUAAGGCUCCAACUAUUUCAAGGGAAAGGAAGCACUCCAGUGCCAAUGCCAACUCCACCGGCAGAACCACCACCAACGCCGCCACCAGCACCACCUCCAACGCCGCCGCCACCGCCAACGCCGCCACCCACGCCACCAACUCCACCAAGCCCACUUGAACCACCGAGCCCACUAGCACCACCGAGGCCACCGACUCCACCAAUUCCUCCAAGCCCACCAGCACCACCGAGGCCAGUAAUCCCACCAAGACCUCCAACUCCACCAAACGGAAGCCCAUUAGAACCAAUGCCGGAGAAGCCACCAACACCACCGUAUGUUAGAAAGUUCUUUUGAUCAUCAAGGCCAGCAUCAGUGGGCGCACUUUUGGCAGUGUUAUGAACCACUUGAUCAUCAUGAUCACUAGGCGUAUUUCUUGCACUAGUGUGAACCGCUGCUACAGCAAGAACAAGCAUGACAUUGGCACACCACUUUGCCAUCUCUCUCAAAGAUUAUUAUUAUUUGAUUACUAUUAUGAAUUUUUCUUCUUAGUACAUGUGAACUAUUGUUGCGGGAGUCUCCUUAUAAAGGCUAAGAGGGCAUUGGGGAGGUAGUUGUGGGUAGUAAAUAGAAUUGAAUGCGGGCAACUUAGCUGGCACACUCGCUCAUAAGGUCUGCUGUUUGAAAUAUAUAUUUUCAAGGAUUUGUGCUUAGAGUAAAAUUGUUAUAGGAGUCAUCGUAAUGGUUUAAACGCUUGGGGUACCAGCUGAAAGAAAGUUACUGCGAUGGCCAGAGUGGCAAAUGCAGAAAUAAACAUGCAUGCCAGAUAUGGUGGUGACAAAUGAAAUGCUGAUUAGGGAUGUGGCGUUCGGGCAUGUGAUAUGCAGAGAAACAUUUGCCCAACCAAUCAAGUAAUUACAUUUGGUUGGAAGAAAAGGGCCGAUGUGAAGUGAUUGACUCAAUUCUGGGCAUUAUUAAUUUCCUGGACCAUUUCCAAUGACAUGAAAAAUUUUAAACUGUGUGUGACAAGGAACCUUACCUUUUGAGUUUUGAGAGGAAAUGCAAAUCCUAAUUAAGCUGUGAAAAAGUAAAAUUAAAUGUUCUUGCGUUGCGGAGAAUUAAGUAAAAAGUCAUCGAGCCUUUUCACUGAGCUGUAGUCCAUAACUCAUAAUACGUAGUAGCACGUGGUCAAUUCUAAACAUCAAUUUUUUUUUAUUAAAAAAAACUCUAAACAUUGAAUUAAUUUGCAAGAAAUAUUUCUUUUUUUUUUUUCAUCUUGGUAUUAGACUUCUAUAUCAAACAUUUUCUACUGUCAUUAUACUUUUUAUUCUACUAAUUAAUUUGCUUAUCUAAUCUAAAAGAAAAAAAAUUCUUAUCUCAACUAAAUUUGCGUGUUUUGGUUACUUUACUCACUCACUUUGUCAAUCUAGUUUUCUCUAACUAAAGACUUUUAGUUAACAUGUACUGACACAUUAAUUUAAUGGUAAAAUCUGUCCAAUCCUUUGGGACCAUCGUAAUUCAAGAGUUUGGAAAAAGUUAAACACUAUUUGCACACAAAAUUAUAAAUAAAAAUGAAUUAAUAAAUUUGUACAAUUUUAUAUGCAAGUAGCAUUACUCAUGGCAAAAUUUGAAGCAGUUAAUGGUUUUAUAUAGGGUAAGUUGAUUAUUAAAGAAUUAGAUUGUUUUGUUAAAUCUGAUUGGUGGUUAUUAAAUAUAAAGUUUCCAUUCAAUAUUUUAAUUUACUGUUGAGUUGCAUUAAAUAUUGGUUGGUCAAUGGAAGUCAGCUGCUAAAUUCAAUGUCGACCUACAUUCAAUCUCUACCUAACAAGUUUAAUUUGGGAUCGGAUACCUGCACAUUCUAAGUCCACCCCAAAUAUUACACUCCACCAUUCCCAACUCUUUACACCUAAAUUGAGAAAAUCGUUUGGAGAAAAUAUUGGUCAACACUAAUUGAAUCGUUGACUUAAACUAUAGGAAAUAAUAGAACAUUUACAACUGAGAAAAGUUUAGUAACACGACACAUAAAUUCUCCACCAGUUUUAUUUUUUCCUCUAUGUAUAGUAGUGUCUUUCAGCUAUAGGAUCAUUUUUCUAAUAUAUAAAUUAUCAUUAAAAUACAUGCUUAUUGAUAACGUAUUAUCAGUUUUGAUAUUCAGUUAUUGAUUCACCGAUCAUCCAAUUGAAGAAACGUGUUUUCAUUUCUUGAAUAAAACAUUAUACACUGAGAGUUAUUUAUAGAUGCAGAUGCUACAUUUUUUCAAAGAUUACAUAUGUAAAUACGGAAGGAAAUAGGUCUGUGUUGUGCGCGAGAGCUGGGCUGACGCUGGUGCUGCGUUGCGUUGCGCGCGCGGGACUGAUGUACUGCGCGAGGGUGAUUGCUGGAUUGAUUUGCGCUGUGCGCGCGAGCUGGAGCUGAGGAUCUGCGUUGCUAGGCGUUACUGCUGCUGCUUCGCGGGAUGUGUUGCGUGCACGGUUGCUGCUGAUUUCGCACAAUGGUGAUGGCUGGGGCUUGCUGCGUUGCACGCGGCUGCUUUCGCUGGUGGGACUUCGUUGCGCGCUGCUGGGCUGCGAGACACGGGAUGCUGGUGUUGCGCUCACGAGAUGGUGCGUUUUCCGGCGGGCUGGUUUGCUGCUGGUGUGCUGCAAGCGGCUGGAGAAGAAAACAAGUUCUGGAAAAUUAGGGAUUUUGUGAACAGUGAAUAGUGAACAGUGAUUUUCGAUUUUUGGUUUUUUUUUAAAUAAAUAAACAUAAUCAUUAAAGAACAUAUAUGGGAAUUAAAUAAAUAAAUAAAAUAAUUAUUUCAUUGAAUAGGGUUUCAUCUUUAACCUCAGUAUAAGAAAAUUAGCUGGACAUACUUAAAUUGGGAGCAACAAAAAAAAUAAAAUCAGCCAUGGGAAGCCGAAAUAUUGCUGCUGCAACUGGUCUCUUCCAACCUGACAUACUUGAAUUGGGAGCAACAAAAGAAAUAAAAUCAGCCAUGGGAAGCUUCCUUUUCCAAUUAUGAAACAAAGCUUCCAUAAUAACGCCAGCCAUUAAUUCCACUUUUGAAAGUCAAGUGUGGGCCCCAUUUAAAUUGCUUUCCCCUUUUGCAAUGCUAUGGACGUGCAACUCAAUUGGAGAAUUGAAAUUCUUUUUCAAUGCAAAUUGCUCUUAGCUCUUAACUCUAUCACAGCUUCAACUAAUAUUUCUCUAAAUUAUUAUUUUUUUUGCACUUUUUAUUUCCAAUCUCCAAUUAAUUUCCUAUUCAAUAAAACAAUUCAAUUAAUUAAAAAUAACAAAUAAAAUUAACUAGCAAAUAUACAAUAAAGGGUAAAAUAUGUAUAUAAAUUAUGCUCAUCACAUUGCUUAAUAUUUAUUAUUAUGGUUGGUUGAAUUAUAUACAUGGCAAUUAAUGAAUGAAAAUACAGGUGCUCCUGAAUCCCAAAACAUUUCCACGACAUAUAGUCAAGUUUAAGGCUGUGGCCCGACAAAUUAAUGACCUUACUUUGCUUAGUGUAACAUAAUGCAUGAGCUUCGAUAACUUCAUAUGUAAACUUUAGUUGCUUUAGCUAAGGUUCUAUAACAUCAGUCAUCUCCAUUUAAAAGACAGAAGAAGAAGAUAAAACACGCGAUUAAAUUAUUUACGUCGAAUAUCUCUGAAGUAGAGAAUUACAUUACGAUAACAUACCAGAAGCUCUCAAAGCUAAAAAUCAAAAGCAAACAGUAACUGAAGCCGAAGUAAACGAACUAUCACACGAACAUGACAUUAAACUAAACUUUCUUAAUAACGUGCACGGGAAACCCUCAAACAGGAAAAACCUUGAUUAAUUAAAAGCAAGUAAAGAAGCCCUAAUGUCUUCUAAGGCUCCAACUAUUUCAAUGGAAAGGAAGCACUCCGGUGCCAGUGCCAACUCCACCGGCAGAACCACCACCAACGCCGCCACCAGCACCACCGCCAACGCCGCCACCCACGCCACCAACUCCACCAAGCCCACUUGAACCACCGAGACCACCGACUCCACCAAUUCCUCCAAGCCCACCAGCACCACCGAGGCCAGUAACGCCAGCAAGACCUCCAACUCCACCAAGCGGAAGCCCAUUAGAACCAAUGCCGGAGAAGCCACUGACACCACCGUAUGUUAGAAAGUUCUUUUGAUCAUCAAG